rnacentral:rRNA from 1 species
GGCUUAACACAUGCAAGUCGAGGGGCAGCAUGGUCUUAGCUUGCUAAGGCUGAUGGCGACCGGCGCACGGGUGAGUAACACGUAUCCAACCUGCCGUCUACUCUUGGCCAGCCUUCUGAAAGGAAGAUUAAUCCAGGAUGGCAUCAUGAGUUCACAUGUCCGCAUGAUUAAAGGUAUUUUCCGGUAGACGACGGGGAUGCGUUCCAUUAGAUAGUAGGCGGGGUAACGGCCCACCUAGUCAACGAUGGAUAGGGGUUCUGAGAGGAAGGUCCCCCACAUUGGAACUGAGACACGGUCCAAACUCCUACGGGAGGCAGCAGUGAGGAAUAUUGGUCAAUGGGCGAUGGCCUGAACCAGCCAAGUAGCGUGAAGGAUGACUGCCCUAUGGGUUGUAAACUUCUUUUAUAAAGGAAUAAAGUCGGGUAUGCAUACCCGUUUGCAUGUACUUUAUGAAUAAGGAUCGGCUAACUCCGUGCCAGCAGCCGCGGUAAUACGGAGGAUCCGAGCGUUAUCCGGAUUUAUUGGGUUUAAAGGGAGCGUAGAUGGAUGUUUAAGUCAGUUGUGAAAGUUUGCGGCUCAACCGUAAAAUUGCAGUUGAUACUGGAUGUCUUGAGUGCAGUUGAGGCAGGCGGAAUUCGUGGUGUAGCGGUGAAAUGCUUAGAUAUCACGAAGAACUCCGAUUGC